AGAGUUUGAUCCUGGCUCAGGAUGAACGCUGGCGGCGUGCCUAACACAUGCAAGUCGAGCGAUUCUCUUCGGAGAAGAGCGGCGGACGGGUGAGUAACGCGUGGGUAACCUGCCCUGUACACACGGAUAACAUACCGAAAGGUAUGCUAAUACGAGAUAAUAUGCUUUUAUCGCAUGGUAGAAGUAUCAAAGCUCCGGCGGUACAGGAUGGACCCGCGUCUGAUUAGCUAGUUGGUAAGGUAACGGCUUACCAAGGCGACGAUCAGUAGCCGACCUGAGAGGGUGAUCGGCCACAUUGGAACUGAGACACGGUCCAAACUCCUACGGGAGGCAGCAGUGGGGAAUAUUGCACAAUGGGCGAAAGCCUGAUGCAGCAACGCCGCGUGAGCGAUGAAGGCCUUCGGGUCGUAAAGCUCUGUCCUCAAGGAAGAUAAUGACGGUACUUGAGGAGGAAGCCCCGGCUAACUACGUGCCAGCAGCCGCGGUAAUACGUAGGGGGCUAGCGUUAUCCGGAAUUACUGGGCGUAAAGGGUGCGUAGGUGGUUUCUUAAGUCAGAGGUGAAAGGCUACGGCUCAACCGUAGUAAGCCUUUGAAACUGGGAAACUUGAGUGCAGGAGAGGAGAGUGGAAUUCCUAGUGUAGCGGUGAAAUGCGUAGAUAUUAGGAGGAACACCAGUUGCGAAGGCGGCUCUCUGGACUGUAACUGACACUGAGGCACGAAAGCGUGGGGAGCAAACAGGAUUAGAUACCCUGGUAGUCCACGCCGUAAACG
rnacentral:rRNA from 1 species